rnacentral:rRNA from 1 species
GGCGCACGGGUGCGUAACGCGUAUGCAACCUACCCUCAACCGGGGGCAUAACGCCGAGAAAUUGGCGCUAAUAUCCCAUGUGUAUAAGAGGUGGCAUCACCUAUUAUAUAAAGAUCCGUUGGUUAAGGAUGGGCAUGCGUAACAUUAGCUAGUUGGCGGGGUAACGGCCCACCAAGGCGACGAUGUUUAGGGUUCUGAGAGGAUUCACCCCCACACUGGAACUGAGACACGGUCCAGACUCCUACGGGAGGCAGCAGUAGGGAAUAUUGGGCAAUGGAGGCAACUCUGACCCAGCCAUGCCCGCGUGAAGGAAGACGGCCCUAUGGGUUGUAAACUUCUUUGCCGCAGAGUAACCCGGGGGACGCCGUCCCCCGCUGAGAGUAUGCGGCGAAUAAGUAUCGGCUAACUCCGUGCCAGCAGCCGC